rnacentral:rRNA from 1 species
AUUGAACGCUGGCGGCAUGCCUUACACAUGCAAGUCGAGCGGUAACAGGCGUAGCAAUACGUGCUGACGAGCGGCGAACGGGUGAGUAAUGCUUCGGAAUCUACCCAGUGGUGGGGAAUAACCAGCCGAAAGGUUGGCUAAUACCGCAUACGACCUACGGGUGAAAGCAGGGGAUCGCAAGACCUUGCGCCGAUGGAUGAGCCGAAGCCGGAUUAGCUAGUUGGUAGGGUAACGGCCUACCAAGGCGACGAUCCGUAGCUGGUCUGAGAGGACGACCAGCCACACUGGGACUGAGACACGGCCCAGGCUCCUACGGGAGGCAGCAGUGGGGAAUAUUGGACAAUGGGGGCAACCCUGAUCCAGCGACGCCGCGUGUGUGAAGAAGGCCUGCGGGUUGUAAAGCACUUUUAGUGGGGAUGAAAAGUGCAGAGCUAAUAUCUCUGCAUCUUGACCUAACCCACAGAAAAAGCACCGGCUAACUCUGUGCCAGCAGCCGCCGUAACAC